CGCCUGUUUAACAAAAACAUUUCUUUUAGAUUUUUUUAAAGGUACUUUCUGCCCUAUGGUUAAUUCUAAAUGGCUGCAGUAUCUUGACUGUGCAAAGGUAGCAUAAUAAUUAGUUUUUUAAUUGAAGGCUGGUAUGAAUGGAAAAUUGAGAUACAUAUUUUAUUAAAUAUAAUUUUAAAAUUUAAAUUUUAAGUAAAAUGCUUAAUUUUAUUCUUGGGACGAUAAGACCCUAUAGAACUUUAUAUAUUUAUUUAUAAUAAUUUUUUGGUAAUAUAUUUUAUUAUAAUUAAUUAUAUUUUGCUGGGGUGGCAGAUAAAUCAACUUUAUUAUAAAAAUUCAUUUUCGUUGUAAUAGUAGAUUUUAAGUAUGCAAUUAAGAUUAAGUUACCUUAGGGAUAAUAGCGUAAUUUUAAUGGAAAGUUCAUAUUUAUAUUAUAUUUUGCGACCUCGAUGUUGAAUUAAGGUAAAUUUUAAGGGGUAGAUUUCUUAAAUUUACGUCUGUUCGACUUUUAAAUCCUUACUUGAUCUGAGUUCAGACCGG
rnacentral:rRNA from 1 species